GGGACGCGGAGCUGGUGGGAUCGCGCCAUGGCCUGGGCCCCUCUCCUCCUCGCGGUGCUCGCCCACGGCUCAGGUUCCCUGGUCCAGGCAGCAGUGACUCAGCCAGCCUCGCUGUCCGUGUCCCCGGGACAAACCGCCCGGAUCACCUGCUCUGGGAGUAGCUACUAUGGCAGAAACCUGGCAGUGCCCCGGUCACUGUGAUAUAUGGUAAUACCAACAGACCCUCGAACAUCCCUGCGCGAUUCUCCGCUUCCACCUCUGGCUCCACAAGCACAUUGACCAUCACUGGGGUGCAAGCCGAGGACGAGGCAGUGUAUUACUGUGGUGGCAACAGUGGUGCUUUCGGCGCGGGGACCAUGUUGACCGUCCUGGGUCAGCCCAAGGUCUCCCCCACCGUGCACCUCUUCCCACCAUCCUCCGAUGAGAUUGCGCAGAAGAGCAAAGCCACCCUGGUGUGUCUGCUGGGCAACUUCUACCCCGGCGCUGCAGAGGUUGCCUGGAAGGCCGAUGGCAGCCCCAUCUCCAACGGUGUGGAGACCACCAAGCCCCAGAGGCAGAGCAACAACCAGUACAUGGCCAGCAGCUACCUGACACUGACUGCCAGCGACUGGAAGAGCCACGAGACCUACACCUGCGAGGUCACGCACGAUGGCAAGAGAAUCGAGAAGGUCCUCAAGAGAUCCGAGUGCUCCUCCUAACCCACCGGGAGCUCCACUGUCUCCUCUCCUCAUCCCCCUCCACUUCCCCAUCCCCAUCCCCGUCCCCCCCCCCC